rnacentral:rRNA from 1 species
AUUGAACGCUGGCGGAAUGCUUUACACAUGCAAGUCGAGCGGCAGCACGGGGGCAACCCUGGUGGCGAGCGGCGAACGGGUGAGUAACACAUCGGAACAUGCCCAGUCGUGGGGGAUAACACUUCGAAAGAAGUGCUAAUACCGCAUACGUCCUGAGGGAGAAAGCGGGGGAUCUUCAGACCUCGCGCGAUUGGAGUGGCCGAUGUCAGAUUAGCUAGUUGGUGGGGUAAAGGCCUACCAAGGCAACGAUCUGUAGCUGGUCUGAGAGGAUGAUCAGCCACACUGGGGCUGAGACACGGCCCAGACUCCUACGGGAGGCAGCAGUGGGGAAUUUUGGACAAUGGGGGCAACCCUGAUCCAGCCAUUCCGCGUGAGUGAAGAAGGCCUUCGGGUUGUAAAGCUCUUUCGGCAGGAACGAAACGGCGAGCUCUAACAUAGCUUGCUAAUGACGGUACCUGAAGAAGAAGCACCGGCUAACUACGUGCCAGCAGCCGCCGCCGUAA